rnacentral:rRNA from 1 species
AUUGAACGCUGGCGGCAUGCUUUACACAUGCAAGUCGAACGGUAGCAGGGUGCUUGCACCGCUGACGAGUGGCGAACGGGUGAGUAAUGCGUCGGAACGUGCCGAGUAGUGGGGGAUAACGCAGCGAAAGUUGUGCUAAUACCGCAUACGUACUGAGGUAGAAAGUGGGGGACCUUCGGGCCUCACGCUAUUCGAGCGGCCGACGUCUGAUUAGCUAGUAGGUGAGGUAAAGGCUCACCUAGGCGACGAUCAGUAGCGGGUCGGAGAGGAUGGUCCGCCACACUGGGACUGAGACACGGCCCAGACUCCUACGGGAGGAAGCAGUGGGGAAUUUUGGACAAUGGGCGAAAGCCUGAUCCAGCCAUGCCGCGUGUCUGAAGAAGGCCUUCGGGUUGUAAAGGACUUUUGUCGGGGAGGAAAUCCCCAGCGUUAAUACCGCUGGGGGAUGACAGUACCUGAAGAAUAAGCACCGGCUAACUACGUGCCAGCAGCCGCCGUAACAC